ACCUUCUCAUGAGCUCCUCUUAAUCUCAUCAGUGAUUAUGUAUGGAUUCGCACGAGAAGAAGAAAAACGCACAGUUAGAACAGGCUUGCCCUACUCACAUCUGGGUGUUGCCCAUGUCUACUAUGCAACAAGC